rnacentral:pre_miRNA from 1 species
AAGUUCUGUCAUACACUCAGGCUGUAGCUAAUGGAAGUCAGUGCAUCACAGAACUUUG